rnacentral:lncRNA from 1 species
GAAACUACCUUUGCAAAAAUUAUAACAGUAAGAAAAUCAUGGCAGUAAAAGAGAUCUGAUCUAAUCCACACCCAUCUUGCCUUUCCCUUAAUUAUUCCUGGGCUUUGGGGCUGAGCUAACUUUGAGAGACAUUUAGUUUAUACUUUAAAUGAUAAUAGGCCUUCCCCAAAACUCAACUGUCUUUGUUAAGCCAAUGAAAGGUCAUCAGGCUGUGGGAGGAGAGGAAUCUGAAUUCUGCUAAGGUGAAGAAAUUGUUUAAUUGCCAGCCACUCCUGCAGGUAACACCACUAUUGUAGAUUGGCCUUUUGAGUAUCUUUUCAGUUUUUGGAAGUCUGAAACCAAUGGCUCCACCCGUACCUGGCUCUGCCUCUACCCACCGACAUUGCUCCUGUGGUCCCACUCAGAAGUAGUUCAGCACUCAGGACAGCUUCCACCCCCUAUGAUUUCAUCUCUGUCCCAACCAAUCAGCAGCAAGCCUAGCCACCGCAGCCCUUCCUCGAAAGUGCCUUUGGAAAACUCCUAAACUACCAGCUUUGGAUGAGAUUUAUUUGAGUCCUAAUUCUGUCUGUCACAUUGUGUGACCGGCCUCAUGUCUAUUGUACUCUUUCGUUACUGCAAUGCUGUGGUCUUUGUUUAUGCAGCAGGCAGGAAGAAUCCAUUGGGUGGUUACAUCAUUAACCCUUACAUUUUUAUGUUCUAGUUUCAGAAAAUUCUCUUCUCUACCCCCGGACCAUAUUGGGGGAACCCACCCUCAAUAUUUCAACAUAGGUUCUUUCUAUUUUCCAUAAGUGUAGGCCGGCUGAGAAAUAAAGAGAGACAGUACAAAGAGAGGAAUUUUACAGCUAGGCUGCUGGAGGUGACAUCACAUAUCAGUAGGACCGUGAUGCCUGCCUAAGUCUCAGACCAGCAAGUUUUUAUUAAGGGUUUCAAAAGGGGAGGGGGUGUAAGAACAGGGAGUAGGUACAAAGAUCACAUGCUUCAAAGGGCAAAAAGCAGAACCACUAAUAAGGGUCUAACAAAGAUCACGUGCUUCUGAGGGAACAGCUAGAAUUACCAUAUGAUCCAGAAAUUUCACUUCUGGGCGUACACCCCAAAGAAUUGACAGCAGGGACUAGAACAGCCUGUGAAUACCUAUGUUCGUAGCAGCCUUAUUCACAAUAGCCAAAAAGGGGAAACAACUCAAAUGUCUGUUGACAGAUCAAUGGAUAAACAAAAUGGGAAUAUACAUACAAUGGAAUAUUAUUCUGCCUGAAAAAGGAAGACAAUUCUUUUUUUUUCUUUUUUUUCUUUUUUUUUUUUUUUGAGAUGGAGUCUUGCUCAGUUGCCCAGGCUGGAGUGCAGUGGCGCAAUCUCGGCUCACUGCAAGCUCCACCUCCCAGGUUCACGCCAUUCUCCUGCUUCAGCCUCCCGAGUAGCUGGGACUACAGGCGCCCGCCACCAUGUCCGGCUAAUUUUUUUUUGUAUUUUUAAUAGAGAUGGGGUUUCACCGUGUUAGCCAGGAUGGUCUUGAUCUCCUGACCUCGUGAUCCGCCCGCCGCAGCCUCCCAAAGUGCUGGGAUUACAGGCGUGAGCCACUGUGCCUGGCCAAAAGGAAGACAAUUCUAACAUAUGCUACAACAUGAAGGAACUUUGAAAACAUUAUGGUCAGUAAAUUAAAUAAGCUACAAGACACAAGAGGACAAAUAUGACACAAGAGAAUAAAUAUUGUAUGAUUCUACUUAUAUGUGUUACCCAAAGUAGUCAAUUGCAUAGAGAUAGAAACAGAAAAUAGAAUGGUGGUUGCAGGGUCUGGAAAGAGAGGAGGAGUGCAGAGUUAUUAUUAUUAUCAUCAUUAUUUUCAGACGGAGUUUCAGUCUUGUUGCCCAGGCUGGAGUGCAGUGGCGCCAUUUCGGCUCACUGCAACCUUUGCCUCCCGAGUUCAAGUGAUUCUCCUGCCUCAGCCUCCUGAGUAGCUGGGAUUACAGGCGCCCACCACCAUGCCCAGCUAAGUUUUGUAUUUUUAGUAGAGACAGGGUUUCAUUAUGUUGGCCAGGCUGGUCUCAAACUCCUGACCUCAGGUGAUCCACCUGCCUCGGCCUCCCAAAGUGCUGGGAUUACAGGCGUGAGCCACUGUGCCUGGCCCAGAGUUAUUGUUUUAUGGGUAGAGAGUUUCAGUUUUGCAAGAUGAAAGGAAUUCUAUAGACGGGUGGUGGUGAAGAUUGUACUUAAUGCCGCUGAACUGUACUCCUAAAAAGGGUUAAAAUAGUAACUUUUAUGUCAUGUGUAUUUUACUACAAAAAAAAAAAAAAAAAGAGAGAGAGAGAGAGACUGGGCACAGCGGCUCAUGCCUGUAAUCUCAACACUUUGGAAGGCUAAGGUGGGAGGAUCACUUAAGCCCAGGAAUUCAAGACCACCAGCCUGGAUGAUAUAGUGAGACCUUGUCUCUAAAAAAAAAUUAAAUUAAAAAAAAAGUGAUGGGAUACUUCUGAGAUUAGGUUGCAGAAAGACGAUGACUUCUACCUUGCAAGCUCUCAUCCUCCCUAACUUACCCUGAGGGAAAACAGUUGCCAUAAUGUAAGCUGCCCCGUGGAGAGGUCCACAAGGCAAGGAAAUGAUGCCUCAAGUCAACAGCCAUGCGGUGAGUUUGGAAGUGGAUUCUUCUCAAGCCAAGCCUUGAAAUGACUGCAGUCUGUGAUGACACCUUCAUUGCAAUCUUGUGAAAGACUCUGAACCAACUCUCAAUCUUGAGAGAGCCUCGUCUUCUGGACGAGCUAAGCUGCACCCAGAUUUCUGACCUACAGAAACCCCCCUGCAACCACUGAAGUUCUACUUUCUGUCUCUUUAAAUUUGACUACUCAAGAA